rnacentral:rRNA from 1 species
CCCUUAGAUGUCCUGGGCCGCACGCGCGCUAAACUGACAUGUUCAACAAGCCUCCUAGUUCGACAGGAUUUGGGAAAUCUUUGAACGCAUGUCGUGAUAGGGAUAGAUCAUUGCAAUUAUUGAUCUUGAACGAGGAAUUCCUAGUAAACGCGAGUCAUCAGCUCGCAUUGAUUACGUCCCUGCCCUUUGUACACACCGCCCGUCGCACCUACCGAUUGAAUGUUUCGGUGAAGAUUCCGGAUAGGACUUUUUUGAUUUAUUUCAAUUUUGUCUUAAAAGCUAUCUAAACCUCAACAUUUAGAGGAAGGUGAAGUCGUAACA